rnacentral:rRNA from 1 species
AUUGAACGCUGGCGGCAGGCCUAACACAUGCAAGUCGAGCGGAUGACGGGAGCUUGCUCCUUGAUUCAGCGGCGGACGGGUGAGUAAUGCCUAGGAAUCUGCCUGGUAGUGGGGGACAACGUUUCGAAAGGAACGCUAAUACCGCAUACGUCCUACGGGAGAAAGCAGGGGACCUUCGGGCCUUGCGCUAUCAGAUGAGCCUAGGUCGGAUUAGCUAGUAGGUGAGGUAAUGGCUCACCUAGGCGACGAUCCGUAACUGGUCUGAGAGGAUGAGCGGUAACACUGGACCCGAGGCACGGUCCAGACUCCUACGGGAGGCAGCAGUGGGGAAUAUUGGACAAUGGGCGAAAGCCUGAUCCAGCCAUGCCGCGUGUGUGAAGAAGGUCUUCGGAUUGUAAAGCACUUUAAGUUGGGAGGAAGGGCAGUAAGUUAAUACCUUGCUGUUUUGACGUUACCGACAGAAUAAGCACCGGCUAACUCUGUGCCAGCAGCCGCGGUAACAC